UGGUAGCAAAGUAGUAAUGAUAUAAUUUAUUUUGUUAUUUACAGAUAAUAAAAUUACCCAGUGGGAAGACCCCAGACUGCAGAACCCAGCAAUUACUGGUCCUGCUGUUCCAUAUUCUAGGGAGUUCAAACAGAAGUAUGACUAUUUCAGGAAGAAGUUAAAGAAGCCCGCUGAUAUACCAAACAGAUUUGAGAUGAAGCUACACAGAAAUAAUAUUUUUGAGGAGUCCUACAGAAGAAUCAUGUCUGUGAAAAGACCUGAUGUACUGAAGGCCAGGCUCUGGAUUGAGUUUGAGUCAGAAAAAGGACUUGACUACGGAGGUGUGGCCAGAGAGUGGUUUUUUCUCUUGUCCAAGGAGAUGUUCAACCCGUAUUAUGGUCUUUUUGAAUAUUCAGCAACGGACAACUACACGCUUCAGAUUAACCCUAAUUCAGGUCUUUGUAAUGAAGAUCACCUGUCAUAUUUCACAUUUAUUGGACGAGUGGCUGGCCUGGCAGUGUAUCCUGG